UACGUAGGGUGCAAGCGUUGUCCGGAAUUAUUGGGCGUAAAGAGCUCGUAGGCGGUCUGUCGCGUCGGCUGUGAAAACCCGGAGCUCAACUCCGGGCCUGCAGUCGAUACGGGCAGACUGGAGUUCGGCAGGGGAGACUGGAAUUCCUGGUGUAGCGGUGAAAUGCGCAGAUAUCAGGAGGAACACCGGUGGCGAAGGCG
rnacentral:rRNA from 1 species